ACGACCCCAGGUGAGGUGGGAUAAGCCAGCUGAAGUUAAGCAUA
rnacentral:rRNA from 1 species